rnacentral:misc_RNA from 1 species
UCCGUGUUAACCACGGCAGUCUCGCCAGACAUGUAAAACUGGCAAUAGGGGUUGCGCUCGUUAUCCGACUUAACGGUACAUUUCACAACACGAGCUGACGACAACCGUGCAGCACCUGUCACUCUUGUCCGAAGAGGGGCUCCAUUUCUGGUGCCUUUCAAGAGGAUGUCAAACCUUGGUGAGGUGCUCCGCUUACCAUCGAAUUAAACCACAUGCUCCACCGCUUGUGCGGGUCCCCGUCAAUUCCUUUGAGUUUUAGUCUUGCGACCGUACUCCCCAGGCGGGAUGCUUAACGUGUUAACUUCGGCACUAGGGGGGUCGAUGCCACUAAUGCCUAGCAUCCAUCGUUUAGGGCGUGGACUAC